ACCCGGUUUGACUACUGGGGCCAGGGGGCUAUGGUCACCGUCAGCACAGAUAACCCAUCUGCCCCCACGCUGUUCCCACUUGUCUCCUGUGAAAGCACUGAUGACAGCCUGGUUGCCCUGGGAUGCCUGGCCCGAGACUUCCUGCCCAGCACAAUCAACUUCUCUUGGAACUUCAAGAACAACAGUGAGGUUGGCAGCCAUAAUGUCCAGACCUUUCCAUCGGUGCAGAGCCAAGGCCGGUACAUGGCCAGUUCACAGCUGUUGCUUCCCUCUGUGAACCUGCUUCCAGGCUCAGAUGACUUCCUGGUGUGCAAUGCCAAGCACCCCCAGGGAGAAAGGCGUCUGAAUGUGCAAAUACCAGGGGUUGGUGAGCUGCCUCCCAAUGUCAGCAUCUUCAUCCCACCUCGAGAUGCCUUCUCCAGCUCUGGUGCAGGUCCACGCACUUCCCAGCUCAUCUGCCAGGCCACAGGCUUCAGUCCCAAGAAGGUGUCAGUAUCUUGGCUUCGUGAAGGGAAGCCCUUGAAGGUGGGCAUUGACACAGGCACCGUGGAGACUGAGCCCAAGGGGGCUGGACCCCAGACCUUCAGGAUCACGAGCAGGCUUACUAUUACUGAGAGUGACUGGCUCAGCCAGAAUGUGUUUACCUGUCGGGUGGAGCACCUCGGGCUUCACUACCAGAAGAAUGUGUCCUCUGUGUGUGGACCUGCUGCCCCCACCACCAUCAGGGUAUUCACCGUGCCACCUUCUUUUGCCGGUAUGUUCCUCAACAAGAUGGCCAAGCUGACCUGCCUGGUCACUGACUUGGUCACCUAUGACAGCCUGAACAUCUCCUGGGCCCAUGACGGUGGUGAUAAACUGAAGACCAGCUUUAAAGUAUCUGACAGUCACCUCAACGGCACUUUCAGUGCUGUGGGUGAGGCCUCUAUAUUUGUGGAGGACUGGAAGUCUGGGAGGAAGUUCACAUGCACUGUGAUCCACAAGGACCUGCCCGCCCCACUCAAGCACACCAUCUCUUACUCCAAUGAAGGUGUCAAACACCCACCAUCUGUGUAUAUAUUGCCGCCAGCAAAGGAGCAGCUGCACCUGCGAGAGUCAGCCUCUGUCACUUGCCUGAUGAACAACUUCUCACCUGCUGACUUAUUUGUCCAGUGGCAACACAAAGGGCAGCCAGUAUCUCCUGACAAGUAUGUGACCAGUGCCCCCAUGCCUGAACCCCAGGCACCUGGCCUCUACUUCUCAUACAGUGUGCUGACCGUGAGUGAGGAGGAGUGGAAUGCCGGUGACACUUUCACCUGUGUCGUGGGACAUGAGGAGCUGCCCCACUCAGUGACCGAACGCACCGUGGAUAAGACCACUGGGGGGGAAGUGAGUGCAGAGGAGGAAGGCUUCGAGAACUUGUCAGCCAUGGCCUCCACCUUCAUCGUCCUCUUCCUCUUGAGUCUCUUCUACAGCACCACCGUCACCCUGUUUAAGGUGAAGUAACUACCCAUGUCAGCCUUGGUCAAGACAUGGAACCCUGUGAAAGCUGCUGGUGCUGGGCUCUCUGGGCCUGCAAAGCCUCCAAGUAUCACCUAUCUGCUUGUUGCCACUACCCCUUGCUUCCAGCUGUAACAUAUUGACUGCCCUUGUACAUGGCCAAGCUUGCAGCUGUGCAGCCACAUUGCACCUUCCCUUCCACUGUACCAUAAACACACCAUUAUAAAUAAACAUAUUGUGCUCUGGGA